CCAGCGAGGGUCACAUAUGGCUCAUUUGAGCAACGCUUGUACGGAACAGGCGUUACCGAUGGCAAAGUGUCGAUGACUAAAGUGCAUGGACGCUUGUACAGAUGUUCAGUCAGAGGUGCAAUUCUGAAGGACACUCUCCACUAACAUACAUGGACUUGAGCGACGUUCAAGAAAAUUCUGUCACGCCAACUUCUGCAGCAUGACUGUUCUCCCGAACUGAAAGACCUCCCUUGUAUGUCAAGUGAGUCAUUGUUACAGAACAUGAUCACUCUUUGUUGAAAAUAGGAGAAAUGCUGUCACGCUGUCUCUGCUGCAGCGUCAAAAAUCGCAGACCAAUCCAAGAUGUGCCGCCUCCACCUACUUGGCAACCUUAUUCUCACCGUAUGAUUCAUUCCAGUGUUUCAUGGCCUUGCAUUGAACGUGUUGUACUUUAACGCUGGUAAAAUUAAGACAUUCAUCAUGCAGUGAAUGAAGCUGGGCAUCCGGACCCUGAAUUUCCCAUCGGGAGUCCCACACAGCCCGCCAAGUAUACAACGAUGCAAUGGCAGACGAGGGAAAUGAAUGAGCGUCUACUUCAGCCAGUGGGGCAGUCAGCCCAGCUGUCUCAGUCCCAGCGAAUAAGGCAACCAGACGCACAAACUUCACAGUAUGCUGUGCGUAUCCCAAGCAGAAAUCAACCAGAUGAGUGGCCCCUCCCCCGUACUGCUGCAGUGUAUAUCCUGCACAUGAUGCCAACAUCUUGCAGCGGAGCAGAUGCUUUGCACAUCGGUCACAGGUCUUAGGGUGUUAAUAGGUGCUUCUCGAGGGCUGUCUCAGGAGAUCUCCCCACACCGGAACUCAAGUGCUCAGAAUGGUGGAUACCAUGAAGCUUAUUCAGGAGCACCACACCGUGCGGCUUGACCUCAUAUUGGCCAAGUUAACAACGGCACCAACGGAAGGGCCUGCAGAAAAUGACAUCUUCAGGGAGCCAUUCUAAUAUCGUCAAGAACUUCUGCGAUUCGAUGUCUCUCUUUAUCAUCACAAAGGCUAUAAUUGGUACGUUCUGCACAAUCCACGCGCAUUGUCUACAUGUAUUUUGGAUAAGGUUGUGCGUAAAGUUCUGUUUUCGUCAGUUGAGUAUCUCAUGGCUUUUCUUAAUGAUGCGCGAGCACGUUCUUCUGAGAUGUGGGGGCACUGACGAAAGAGACAUCACUAGACUGCUUUGUGUGAACUUAUGUCAGAUGAUGUAGCACAGAACUUCAGCUACAAAGGUCGUAAAGGGAAAAAAAAGAACUUAAGCGCCCUCAAUCUGGGGCAAGAUUGUCAUUCGUAUGUACUUUACUCUGUAUACUAAAGUGCUCAUAACACUCAAAUCAUCCAUUUGCAGCCUUCAAACUGUCUUGUCAAGUUCUCAUGCAUGCUCAAACGACUAGAAUGUAGCCCGCUCGAAGCUUCUGCUUGCCAAAAGUGCAGAGGGGAGUUAUACUGUGAUAUUUUCUGGAGCAUCGUUUACCUAAUUGAAGUACUGUAUACAAUAUUUCCUUGUGAUCUGACUUAAAACGUUGUUCCUUAAAACUCUAUUAUGCGAGGUAAAAAUCGAAGACUUUUGUCAUGUACAGUAUGUGUCAGCCACAUAUGAUGGAACGAGGAAUGUAACAAGAAAAGGCUAUAAGUGUUGUAUAUCAAGAACAGUUGUUGAAUGUUUCGAAAAGUGGUAUGUUUUGGUCACAUGUAUCUUUUCCUUAAGACAAAUUAAAUAGCUGUGAGUAAUUGCCUAAUAAUGCCUUACGUAGACGACGUUCGUAGCAAAAAGAUCGCGAAAUUACCACAAUACGAAAUAACAUCAGAAGUGACAAUCUGUCACGAGCUUUGUGCCUUUCGAUAAAAUAGCGUCCACGCUUAUGUGAAAAAAUGUCACCUUUUCUGUGGAUUUCCAAGUUGUAACGCGGUGCAUUUUUCUUGAAAAAAGAAAAAAAGUGUACUUUGACUUAGGCACAGGGGUAGGUGUUUCUCAAACCAGUCUAUACCUUCUGGUUGACACAUAGACCCUAUAUAAGAAGUGAAAAACUUUGCUUUGUUACCCCUAAGUUAUUUAUUAGCAGCAUUGGGGGAAAACGGGUAGGCAGAUUAACAAGGCUCAUCAGCUGCUGUUCGCGUAGAACGCUUCGCCUGUUUUAAUACCGUGGUUCACAUUAGCUGGGACACCCUGUAUACAAACAUUUCUCAGUUUACUGUUCAACCCACCCUUUUUCUAUUUUCUCUUCUGAGAGAGACGAGAGAAGUUUGUGAAUGUGUUUGUGAAGCGAGAAUAGGUGGAACCUUGCACCUCCACUGAGUUUCAGAGGUUUUUCCAACAGUGGGGUGUUUAUGUACUCUCGUUUGUAGUACGUGUUGUGUACAAGGCCAUGUGCGCUUAGGAAAUAAAUAUAUUUUACUGAAAUUCCAAAGCAGUAGUUUCAGUGCUCUUCGCCAUUCUGAGCCACGGCAGUGGGCGGGUAGCGGGAGGAGGA